rnacentral:rRNA from 1 species
AGUGAACGCUGGCGGCAGGCCUAAUACAUGCAAGUCGAACGGCAGCACAGCAGAGCUUGCUCUGUGGGUGGCGAGUGGCGGACGGGUGAGGAAUACGUGGGAAUCUGCCCAGUCGUGGGGAUAACGUAGGGAAACUUACGCUAAUACCGCAUGCGCCCUUCGGGGAAAGCCGGGGACCUUCGGGCCUGGCGCGAUUGGAUGAGCCCACGUCGGAUUAGCUAGUUGGCGGGGUAAAGCCCACCAAGGCGACGAUCCGUAGCUGGUCUGAGAGGAUGAUCAGCCACACUGGAACUGAGACACGGUCCAGACUCCUACGGGAGGCAGCAGUAGGGAAUAUUGGACAAUGGGCGCAAGCCUGAUCCAGCCAUGCCGCGUGAGUGAAGAAGGCCCUCGGG